UGUGUAGGUGGUGCUCUAAGUCUGUCGUGAAAUCUCCCGGCUUAACUGGGAGGGUGCGGCGGAAACUGGGGCGUUCGAGUAUGGGAGAGGAAAGCGGAAUUCCUGGUGUAGCGGUGAAAUGCGUAGAUAUCAGGAGGAACACCUGUGGUGUAGACAGCUUUCUGGACCAUUACUGACACUGAGACACGAAAGCGUGGUAGCAAACA
rnacentral:rRNA from 1 species